rnacentral:other from 1 species
AGUUUUACGAGGUAUCAGCACUUUUCUUUCAUUAGUGGGGAAGGAAGGAUGAAAAAUACAAAACAGCAAUAGGCUUUUAAAGUUUAAAUAGACAGGUCUGAGUGACUGAACGUGCUCUUCCAUUUUAGUUUAACCCUCCAAAGAAGUGCUCUGAUCCAUUUUCACUGCUGAUCAGCAAGGGUAAGUUGAAAGU